CUCGUAGGCGGUCUGUCACGUCCGCUGUGAAAACCCAGGGCUUAACCCUGGGCCUGCAGUAGAUACGGGCAGACUAGAGGUAGGUAGGGGAGAAUGGAAUUCCCGGUGUAGCGGUGAAAUGCGCAGAUAUCGGGAGGAACACCGGUGGCGAAGGCGGUUCUCUGGGCCUUACCUGACGCUGAGGAGCGAAAGCGUGGGGAGCGAACAGGAUUAGAUACCCUGGUAGUCCACGCCGUAAACGUUGGGCGCUAGGUGUGGGGUCCUUCCACGGAUUCCGUGCCGCAGCUAACGCAUUAAGCGCCCCGCCUGGGGAGUACGGCCGCAAGGCUAA
rnacentral:rRNA from 1 species